rnacentral:lncRNA from 1 species
GCUAGAAGAACACGCCUCCUUAUCAGAGUAUUGCCGGCGAGUUCAAACAGCCACGCGCGCCGAGUUCAAGACGGCGCUGGAGGAACAAACUCCCUUUCAUGAGUAUCGUUGGUGGGUAUAAAAUAGUGGCUCAUUAGAGAAUAUUUUAUCUUCGUUGGUUGGUAUAAAAUAUUGCCUCUUGAGAGCUAAUUCGCCCUGCCGAUCUGGUAAUUUUCAACUGAACUUUCAAUAUCGAUCUUCUACCAUACUAACAAUUGAUUCUAAGUGAGCUUGACGAUUUUAUAAUUACUUUUGUUAUUUUGAUGAAACUAUAAUUUUACUUUUGUUGAUGCCCAGUAUGCAUUUACCAACAAAACUUGGGAUCUAUCACAUGCCAAGGUUGUUUUUUAUUCUAAGUAUGAAAAUGAGUUUGGGUACUAGUGAAAAUUGAAUUUAUUUUAGCGAAGAUAUUAGUGGAUUAUGGUCUGAGUAGGAUUGAGAUAAUUUGUCUGUGUGUGUGGUAUUGAGUGAGAGUUAAUUAUUGCUUUCUCAACAUGUGGAUACUGGUCGCUUGAUCACGUAAGAGAUAUUGCUCGAUCACCACACAUUAAUUUCUUAGUCAGAUAAUUAUGCUAUCUGUUUUUGUGAAAGAUUGUUAGUUGAUUCUUGGAAUUGCAGUAAUUAUGGACUCUCAUAGGAAUGAGCGUGUAGUCAUUCUCUAUGUUGUCUGUUAUAAAGCUUAAGGAUUGAGGCUCCUAACCUGAUGUAUAAAAUAUAAUGAACAAAUGGAAAUCCUUCCAUUUGAGCUACCAAAUGAAAAGGUACGAAGUCAAAUUAUAUUUUUGUUUGGGUACGCUUUUGUGUAUGCAUAAGAAUCAUGAUGCUGAAACGUUUAUAUGGAUAACGUCUGAGGCGGGCCGUUGCUUCUCAUAUAUACUCAUACGCAUAAUAAAGAAAUUCUUUUUCCUUCUGUUCGGUUUGGCAGGGUUCACUGCAAAAGUCUGAUGAGUGUUGGGACAUGGUUGUUUUGUGUUGGUUUGUUCUCACCAAAUAAGCAAGCUAGAUGGAUUCGAUGCAUUUUCGAGCCAUGCAGAGUUUGGUUUGGCAGGCUUUUUGGAGGUGGGUUGGUAUUUUUGAUAUGGUAUAUUUUUGGGCAUGGUUUGAUGCCCCAUUUUACUAUUGUCUUUUCUGUCUUGCUGGGUAGAGUUUGUGUUGGGUGAUGGGUUUGGUUGCUGGGAAGUAUGUGCGGCUUGGUUUCUGCAAUAAUUGAGUUUUGUUGGGUUGUUUUGGGUCUCUUUUGUGACCCUUGGCCAUGAACAAUGAGUUGAUGUUCUGCAUUUACAUUUUACAGGCAUUGAGAUGCUCAGAAUUUUUAUAUAUGACCAUUUAUUUUUGUGUAUUUCACAGGAAUCAUAUCUGUCCUAAGCUUCUAACCUACUCGAUGAUUAUAAGAAAAGUAAUUUUUAAUUAAUGCAUAUAUGCCAACAUGAACAUUAUAUGUACAGUAUAUGCUUCACAUUUAUAAAUUGGUCUCUUUUUUCUAUGUUGUGAUGCUUGAAGGCACCGUCUUAGACUU